rnacentral:rRNA from 1 species
GGGCAAUCUGCCCUGCACUCUGGGACAAGCCCUGGAAACGGGGUCUAAUACCGGAUAUGACCGUCUGCCGCAUGGUGGAUGGUGUAAAGCUCCGGCGGUGCAGGAUGAGCCCGCGGCCUAUCAGCUUGUUGGUGAGGUAGUGGCUCACCAAGGCGACGACGGGUAGCCGGCCUGAGAGGGCGACCGGCCACACUGGGACUGAGACACGGCCCAGACUCCUACGGGAGGCAGCAGUGGGGAAUAUUGCACAAUGGGCGAAAGCCUGAUGCAGCGACGCCGCGUGAGGGAUGACGGCCUUCGGGUUGUAAACCUCUUUCAGCAGGGAAGAAGCGAAAGUGACGGUACCUGCAGAAGAAGCGCCGGCUAACUACGUGCCAGCAGCCGCGGUAAUACGUAGGGCGCAAGCGUUGUCCGGAAUUAUUGGGCGUAAAGAGCUCGUAGGCGGCUUGUCACGUCGGUUGUGAAAGCCCGGGGCUUAACCCCGGGUCUGCAGUCGAUACGGGCAGGCUAGAGUUCGGUAGGGGAGAUCGGAAUUCCUGGUGUAGCGGUGAAAUGCGCAGAUAUCAGGAGGAACACCGGUGGCGAAGGCGGAUCUCUGGGCCGAUACUGACGCUGAGGAGCGAAAGCGUGGGGAGCGAACAGGAUUAGAUACCC